GAGAACACAGCUACUGUCCUCCAACGGAACAGACUCCCAACCCUGAGAGAGGCAGUGGGGGGUCCUACAACGCAGAGGCUCUGGGAAGGAGAGGACCCAGCUACUGUCCUCCAACGGAACACAGUCCCAACCCUGAGAGAGGCAGUGGGGGGUCCUACAACGCAGAGGCUCUGGGAAGGAGAGGACCCAGCUACUGUCCUCCAACGGAACACAGUCCCAACCCUGAGAGAGGCAGUGGGGGUCCUACAACGCAGAGGCUCUGGGAAGGAGAGGACCCCGCUACUGUCCUCCAACGGAACACACUCCCAACCCUGAGAGAGGCAGUGGGGGGGUCCUACAACGCAGAGGCUCUGGGAAGGAGAGGACCCAGCUACUGUCCUCCAACGGAACACACUCCCAACCCUGAGAGAGGCAGUGAGGGGGUCCUACAACGCAGAGGAUCUGGGAAGGAGAGGACCCAGCUACUGUCCUCCAACGGAACACAGUCCCAACCCUGAGAGAGAGAGAGAGACCAGUCGGGUAGCAGGUGUCCAAACGCCAUUGGGGGAAAAUAGCAGACAAAUUGUCAAACAAAACCUCACACCCUCACAAACCAUGAUAUAUCUCCCCUUCUGCCCAGAGAAGAUGUCUCAACAAGUUGCUUUAAGCCUGAACACAAGCUGUUGUUUUUUCUGUGUUGAAAUUUACAUUCAUUCACUGAAUCAAGCAGGGAUCCAAUCCAGACCAGUAAUAAAACUUUUUUUUAAAUGUCAAAAGGGAUUCAUGGAUGAGCUAGACACAUCAACUUUGCAGAAGCUCUAGUUUGCAUGGCAGUUAGCAAGUCAUUGUGCAAAAAUAUGUUUAAAAGUGACAAUAUUGUAACUUUUAGCACGACCUGACCAAAUUCACAUAGAAAUGUGAGUUAUAGAUCUAUCAUUCUACUUGGAAGCAAGUCUAAGAAGCGGUAUAUCUGUUCUGUGUGCAAUUUCUAUGCUUCUUGUUCUUAAGUUUUGUUUUUUGUUUUUGUGUCUUUUACUUUAGUUUUCUUUACUGUACACCAGCUUCAAGCAGCUGUUUAGAUGGUAACAUUAUUCUCUACACGAUACUAACUUAUUUUGUCACAAACUGAAAUUUGGCAAACUGUUAGUGUUUUAGCAAUCAGGAAAUGGCAGAGUGAUAUCUGCAUAGUGCAACUUCAAUAUAGAUGAUAAGAUCUGCUAGCAUACCAUGGAUGGUCCCGGAAAUCGAACCCACUAUCCUGGCGUUACAAAUGCCAUACUAUACCAACUGAGCUACAGAGGACCAAACCAAUAACUCAAGCCAAAAGAUAAGAACGCCUUGAAUAAUCUUGUGAUGGUUCUCAAAAAUACAGAACUCCCCCCUCCCCUGUACCUUUACCGCUCAGCAGCAAAGGAAACCUGAUGAAUACCGUGAUGUGCCCAACAUUGAACAUACAUUUACUCAAAAGAUAAUUAAACCCUCUUGCUUAUUAUCACAGACCACCCAUUCCAAAAGAUAGAACCUGCUGCCAAUUCAGUGAAUGAGUUUGACAACACCUAAAGAUCCUGCUUUAAAAUUGAGAAAUUAUGUCCUUGAAAAAAAUAAAUGUAAACUUUGUCUUCUGUUGUCAAGAAAUACAAAUUAAGCUAAGUUGAAUGUGAAGAUAUUUUUUUAUUUAGGUUUAGUUAAGAUGAUUUAUAUAUUGAUUUCAGGGAUGUCGACACUCAGCGAAGAUAUAGGAGAGAAGAAUGACAUCGGGAAGAAUUGACAUCUUGGACAUACAGUAUCUGCUCCAGCAUCUGAAUGUGGAACCCAAGCCGAUGGGAAUUUAAAAGGUCAGAACGAAGUUGCCAUUGAUGUAUUUUGGAAUUAUUUUUGUAAUUUAUUUUUUCUCAGAGUCAAAUACAAUGUAACCAAGAUUUAUUCGUUGGAAACCUUUUGCUCUGAAGAAAAGUAUUUUUGAUUUGAUGAGAAAUAUGAAAAUAUAUUUUAAAAGACAUGGGCAAACAGUUACAUGGAUUGGACCACUGUUUGUCCGUGACUCAAUAAAAAGUGCAUUCCUGACCUAUGGAUCGGACAGACUCCAUUUGCUCUCUGUCAGUCAUCACCACUUCUAGCAAUCACAUUGUGCAGAUCACUUGAUACCACUGUACAAGUCGGUGUCACUGUUGGUAUUUACCCUAUGAUUUUUCACUGUCAUCUUCAUCACCACGAUCAUCAUAUUCAUCCUCCUUAAUCUAGCUAAGAUUGUAAACUAUUCUCCAUUUCUAAGGGUCAGUAGAAUAAGGUGUUUUAAAAACGAAAUGUCUAUCAUAAUUUCAAUAUCAAAGUGCACUAUGAUAACUAUUGCCUGUGAUAAAAAAAAGUAACAAUUAUGGUUGAAUUGAUGGUCAAAAUAGAGACAUCCACCUUAUUGUUAUGAUUAUAAUAAUAAAC
ensembl:lncRNA